UGGCAGUGCUGCAAGGAGGAAGGGACAGGAGAUUGUGCAAGGGACAGAAAAGGUUAGGUGGCCAUGCAAGGGACAGGAAGGAGAUAGCUGGAAAUGCAGAAGGAAGGUAGAAGGAGAGAAAGAGCCAGAGCAGUGUGGAGCUACUCAUGGGACUGAAACACAGAAAAGGUAUGAAAGCCUUUUAGAUAACAAGGUACUGAUACUUGGAGCCCUCUGAAGUUUUUAAAGAAGCACUCUUCAGUGCUGUGGCCAUCUCUACGAGGACAGAAAGGAGCAAUGGUCCUGGACGUCCUAUGUAAACAAAAGGCUUUGAUAUGUGAAAAAGGACUACCUCCCUUGGAAUAACCUUCAGGAGUUUAAACUGGACUGUUAAGCCCGAGAUCUACCAGGACCCACAGCGUGGAGCACAGAGGAUGGAUGCAGAGCUGACAUACCCAAAAUUCACUGAGCCUUAGAAUGGAGCAGCAAACAGAACAGCUGUUGGAUUUCAUACUGAAGUUGUUUCAAAGGAAGACACUUAUUUAUAAUGCAAUUAUUUGAAGGUUUCUUAUGUGGCACAAUGGAAGAGAGCUCUGUUGGUGGAAGAGAGAAGGAAUUUGUGUUCACGGGAUCAGCGUCUGUGACUUGUCCUGUGCUGAACUGCAGUGUGGGUGGGCAAAGGAAAGCUUGCAGCUAAAUAUGUAACCUUGUGGUUUGCAUCCAUACCUUAUUGCUGACAGAGAGCUACUGUAAACUGCUGCUGGGUUAAAAAAUUACGUGGUUACUCAGUGCUUACAGUUUACAUAUCUGAGAUAGAACAGUUCAUUAUUAUUCAGCUGGUGAAAUAACCCUUUUUCUCUCCCACAUGAAAUCUAUAUAUUUUUCAAAUGUAAAGAUGAUAUGUUGCUAUAUAUGAUUGAUUUUUCAGGCUCUCAUGCAAAGAAAUGUUUCCGAAUCUGUUGAGUGUUAAUUAAAAACUACCUUUCUGUGUUUCAAAGUGUUUAA